GCCCCAUCAAAUGUAUGCCACAAAAUAUGAAUGAUACACAUGCUUUCCUUUUUUACUACAUAUAAAUGUGCGUGUCUUUUUACCAUAGAAACCAUCAGAAAUAGCUAUUUACUACAUAUAAAUGGGAUUGAAUGCCUACCAUUGACAAUCGCUUGGGGAAAGCAAUUGGUAGCUUAUUGUAGGUCUAGUGCAAUGUGUUUUAAGGUGUAGCAGGGGAAGUUGCUUUGACUUCAGGUGGUGGAUUGAAGAAGCUAUCUUUAUUAACUGAUAACUAUGAAGAGAUUGCAAUGAAUAAAAUUCUAAGUUUGUAGUAAAUUUCAGAAGCAGAACUGAUGCAUGCCCAAAAUCAGCUAGGGUGGUAACUGACCGAACAUCAGGAUAUUUGAAGGGCUUUAGGUUUGUCACAUGCCCUAUCAUUGAAGAGAUGGAGCAAGGCAUAAAGGGAAUGGAUGGUCAGGUA